CCUACGGGGGGCUGCAGUGGGGAAUAUUGGACAAUGGGGGCAACCCUGAUCCAGCCAUGCCGCGUGUGUGAAGAAGGCCCUCGGGUUGUAAAGCACUUUCAGUGAGGAAGAACGCCUGGUGGUUAAUACACAUCAGGAAAGACAUCACUCACAGAAGAAGCACCGGCUAACUCCGUGCCAGCAGCCGCGGUAAUACGGAGGGUGCGAGCGUUAAUCGGAAUUACUGGGCGUAAAGCGCGCGUAGGUGGCUUGAUAAGCCGGUUGUGAAAGCCCCGGGCUCAACCUGGGAACGGCAUCCGGAACUGUCAAGCUAGAGUGCAGGAGAGGAAGGUAGAAUUCCCGGUGUAGCGGUGAAAUGCGUAGAGAUCGGGAGGAAUACCAGUGGCGAAGGCGGCCUUCUGGACUGACACUGACACUGAGGUGCGAAAGCGUGGGUAGCAAACAGGAUUAGAUACCCUUGUAGUC
rnacentral:rRNA from 1 species